AUUGCCUCAGUAACGGCGAGUGAAGCGGCAAGAGCUCAAAUUUGAAAGCUGGCCCCUUCGGGGUCCGCGUUGUAAUUUGCAGAGGAUGCUUCGGGUGCAGCCCCCGUCUAAGUGCCCUGGAACGGGCCGUCAUAGAGGGUGAGAAUCCCGUCUGGGACGGGGUGUCUGCGUCCGUGUGAAGCUCCUUCGACGAGUCGAGUUGUUUGGGAAUGCAGCUCUAAAUGGGUGGUAAAUUUCAUCUAAAGCUAAAUACUGGCCGGAGACCGAUAGCGCACAAGUAGAGUGAUCGAAAGAUGAAAAGCACUUUGAAAAGAGAGUUAAACAGCACGUGAAAUUGUUGAAAGGGAAGCGUUUGCGACCAGACUCGCCCGCGGGGUUCAGCCGGCAUUCGUGCCGGUGUACUUCCCCGUGGGCGGGCCAGCGUCGGUUUGGGCGGCCGGUCAAAGGCCCUCGGAAUGUAUCACCUCUCGGGGUGUCUUAUAGCCGAGGGUGCAAUGCGGCCUGCCUGGACCGAGGAACGCGCUUCGGCUCGGACGCUGGCGUAAUGGUCGUAAAUGACCCGUCUUG
rnacentral:rRNA from 1 species